rnacentral:rRNA from 1 species
GACGAACGCUGGCGGCGUGCCUAAUACAUGCAAGUAGAACGCUGAAGGAGGAGCUUGCUUCUCUGGAUGAGUUGCGAACGGGUGAGUAACGCGUAGGUAACCUGCCUGGUAGCGGGGGAUAACUAUUGGAAACGAUAGCUAAUACCGCAUAAGAGUAGAUGUUGCAUGACAUUUGCUUAAAAGGUGCAAUUGCAUCACUACCAGAUGGACCUGCGUUGUAUUAGCUAGUUGGUGAGGUAACGGCUCACCAAGGCAACGAUACAGAGCCGACCUGAGAGGGUGAUCGGCCACACUGGGACUGGGACACGGCCCAGACUCCUUCGGGAGGCAGCAGUAGGGAAUCUUCGGCAAUGGACGGAAGGCUGACCGAGCAACGCCGCGUGAGUGAAGAAGGUUUUCGGAUCGUAAAGCUCUGUUGUAAGAGAAGAACGAGUGUGAGAGUGGAAAGUUCACACUGUGACGGUAGCUUAACAGAAAGGGACGGCUAACUACGUG